AGUGAACGCUGGCGGUAGGCCUAACACAUGCAAGUCGAACGGCAGCACAGUAAGAGCUUGCUCUUACGGGUGGCGAGUGGCGGACGGGUGAGGAAUACAUCGGAAUCUACUUUUUCGUGGGGGAUAACGUAGGGAAACUUACGCUAAUACCGCAUACGACCUACGGGUGAAAGCAGGGGAUCUUCGGACCUUGCGCGAUUGAAUGAGCCGAUGUCGGAUUAGCUAGUUGGCGGGGUAAAGGCCCACCAAGGCGACGAUCCGUAGCUGGUCUGGGAGGUUGAUCAACCAAACUGGAACUGAGACCCGGUCCAGCCACUGACGGGAGGCAGCAGUGGGCAAUAUUGGACAAUGGGCGCAAGCCUGAUCCAGCCAUACCGCGUGGGUCAAGAAGGCCUUCGGGUUCUAAAGCCCUUUUGUUGGGAAAGAAAAGCAGCAGUUUAAUACCCCGCUGUUCUGACGGUACCCAAAGAAUAAGCACCGGCUAACUUCGUG
rnacentral:rRNA from 1 species